ACUCAGGUUGUUUGGAAUUCAACUUUCCAAGUUGCAUGUGGAGUUGCUGAAUGCCCUGAAAUCCACUGAGAUUUUUAUGUUUGUCACUAUUGUCCUGUUGGCAGUUAUGCAAGAAGGUUAUACACACCUUACACAGUAGGAGUACCAUGUGCCAGUUGUCCUGAUCGCUCUGAAGAUGGGCUGUGCACCAAUAGUUGUGGACAUGAAGGUGAUUAUUCUACCUGUAAAGAUCUGAAGAAGAUGGUAACCUGUGAAGAUCCAGUUGUUAAAGAAGGUUGCAAAGCUACAUGCCUCUGUAAAGGCAAAAUUCAUUAA
rnacentral:lncRNA from 1 species